UGAAAAUUUAUUGCACGUCGGGCACUGCAUUAAAUGCUGCUGUCACAGUGGGACACGACACAGUCCUUACCCUCAAAGGGUUCUCCUGCACAAUUUACAGCACAAUGUGCUAAGUUCUGUGAGGAGAGCCCGGAGUGCCAAGGGAGGGCAGAGCAGGCUGCUUCACCAGCUCUCCUGUCACAGCGGGGAGCAAGCCCUGCUCAGGGUGGCCGGGGCAGGCGAGGCCUGGACUCAGUCCUGAGGAAACACCCGUGGCAGCUUUGUGACUGAGGACUUGGACUCUCGCUGAGCCUGGGUUGAAUCGCACUCUGCCCUCACUCACUAAAACCUUGAGUCAGUUCACCUGUAGGCCUGAACAUACGGCAACGUUUGUUCCUCUGCCCCAAGCCCCUAAAAACUCCCUCAGGAAAGGUGUGCCUUCGUCCACUCUGGCUUCUAUAGCAAAACACCACAGACCAGGUAGCUUGAAAACAACAAAUUUGUUCUCACAGUUCUGGAGGCUGGAAGUCUGAGAUGGCAGGACUAGCACAGUCGAGUGAUGCCCUCUUCCAGGUGGCAGACUUCUCUUUGUGUCCCCGUGUGGCAGAAGGGGCUAUGGAGUUCUGUGGGGUCUCGUUUACUAGAGCACUAAUCCCAUUCAUGAGGUCUCCACCCUCAGGACCUAAGCACUUCCCAAAGGCCCCGCCUCCUAACACAUCACAUUGGGCAUCAGGACCUCAACACACGACUCUGGGGGGGCACACUCAGACCAUAGCAGGGGGUGACUUUAUAUUCAACUCCUUAUAAAAAUCAGUGCUUUAUUUUGAAAAAGGUAUGAUAUUAACUUGAAAUAAUAUCAAUUUGACUUAUGAUGCCUUUGAGAGAGAAAGGUGCUCGCCCAAGAUCGCACCUGGAGAUUGGUGGAACCAGAAUUGGCCUUUCUCCACAGCCCGCCUCUUAGCUGCUUCCAUUCUUCCUGCCUGCUGGCCUCGCCCUGGUGCUCCUUUCCUGCACCGCAGCUAAUUUCCCGACAAUAACUCUGAUGUUUAGGACUUUGCCUUUCUUGUGUAUUUUUGGCUCAGCCUUCACCUUUGGCCUCUCGAGGUAUCUCUCAAGGUCUCAGGCAAGGACUCCUUGGCUGCGUGCAUGCGCUCUAGGGAGCCCUCCUGUGAUCUGGCCCCUGUGCUGUUUGGAGCCAGGCUGAGACUUUUCUUGAGUCAGAUAUACCCCAGUCUGAGGAUGUCUUCAGAUCAGUAUGAACAGCCAACACGGCAAACCCAGACUUUCUUCCUCAAGACGCGCCAACAGGCUGGGAUGAUCCCAUCUGAAUGAGUGUAUAUAGGGAGCUGAAUUCAAAUUCUAAACAGCUGGGCUGGUUAAACUGCUAUACGCCCUGGAUAAUCACAGGUGAUUCCCUUCUUCAUGACAUGGCAACCAGCAUUGACUCAUUCCAGCAC
rnacentral:lncRNA from 1 species